UUGCUUUCUUUUGCUGGCGACCGGCGCACGGGUGAGUAACACUAUCCAACCUGCCCUUUACUCGGGGAUAGCCUUUCGAAAGAAAGAUUAAUACCCGAUAGCAUAAUGAUUCCGCAUGGUUUCAUUAUUAAAGGAUUCCGGUAAAGGAUGGGGAUGCGUUCCAUUAGGUUGUUGGUGGGGUAACGGCCCACCAAGCCUUCGAUGGAUGGGGGUUCUGAGAGGAAGGUCCCCCACAUUGGAACUGAGACACGGUCCAA
rnacentral:rRNA from 1 species